AGAGUUUGAUCCUGGCUCAGAGUGAACGCUGGCGGCAGGCCUAACACAUGCAAGUCGAACGGCAGCACAGCAGUAGCAAUACUGUGGGUGGCGAGUGGCGGACGGGUGAGGAAUGCGUCGGAAUCUGCCUAUUUGUGGGGGAUAACGUAGGGAAACUUACGCUAAUACCGCAUACGACCUACGGGUGAAAGUGGGGGACCUUCGGGCCUCACGCAGAUAGAUGAGCCGACGCCGGAUUAGCUAGUUGGCGGGGUAAAGGCCCACCAAGGCGACGAUCCGUAGCUGGACUGAGAGGAUGAUCAGCCACACUGGGACUGAGACACGGCCCAGACUCCUACGGGAGGCAGCAGUGGGGAAUAUUGGACAAUGGGCGCAAGCCUGAUCCAGCCAUGCCGCGUGUGUGAAGAAGGCCUUCGGGUUUAAAGCACUUUUGUCCGGAAAGAAAUCCUUUCGAUUAAUACUCGGGAGGGAUGACGGUACCGA
rnacentral:rRNA from 1 species